rnacentral:rRNA from 1 species
GAUGAACGCUGGCGGCGUGCCUAAUACAUGCAAGUCGAGCGAACAGACGAGGAGCUUGCUCCUCUGACGUUAGCGGCGGACGGGUGAGUAACACGUGGAUAGCCUACCUAUAAGACUGGGAUAACUUCGGGAAACCGGAGCGAAUACCGGAUAAUAUAUUGAACCGCAUGGUUCAAUAGUGAAAGACGGUUUUGCUGUCACUUAUAGAGGGAUCCGCGCCGCAUUAGCUAGUUGGUAAGGUAACGGCUUACCAAGGCAACGAUGCGUAGCCGACCUGAGAGGGUGAUCGGCCACACUGGAACUGAGACACGGUCCAGACUCCUACGGGAGGCAGCAGUAGGGAAUCUUCCGCAAUGGGCGAAAGCCUGACGGAGCAACGCCGCGUGAGUGAUGAAGGUCUUCGGAUCGUAAAACUCUGUUAUUAGGGAAGAACAAAUGUGUAAGUAACUAUGCACGUCUUGACGGUACCUAAUCAGAAAGCCACGGCUAACUACGUG